rnacentral:rRNA from 1 species
GAAUUUUAUAUAAAUUUGUUAUGUUUAAUAUUAUGAAUAGGUAUGUGAUAAUUUUAUAUUUUAUUGGGAGGAUAAAUAAAUUAAAAAAACUUUAAUAAAUAAAAAUCCAUUAAUUUAUGAAUUUAAAUUAAAUGAGUGAUUAAAUAAGUUUUAGAAGAAUUAAUUACCUUAGGGAUAACAGCGUAAUAUUUUUAGAGAGAUCUUAUUAAUAAAAAUGAUUGC